CUAGCCGACAUUCACCUAUCCCAGACCCUGCGUAAAGCGGGAGCCUUGUGCACUGGGUACGAUCUUUUUUUUUUAUUUGAGCUCCUAGCCUCCUACAUGGUUGAUUUGAUCAAUAAUCUAAAUAACACGCAUAAAUCAGAAGCAAACUAUAUAAAAUGAAGAUUGAAGAUAACUUAAUGCCGCAGAAGCAUUCCCAAAUUGGUGUUCUCGUUUAGGAAUUAAUAACAGAUAGAAAAUGAAAAAGAUUAGAAAACAAAAACACAAAUCCUAUAAGCAAAUAUCAUAUAACCUUAACCUGACAAUUUCAUUAGUAACAUGACCCUAAUUUCAAUUGAUUAAACAUAGGAAUUGAUUGAUGUGGUGCAAAGACUCACAAUCGAUUAUGACUAUAAAACCAUAACUGCAUUUUCAUUGCAGUUUUUUAGAAAUAAAAGUUAAAAGUAAUUAAAAUUCAAAAAGUGAAUUAAUCAUCCUCAAACCGGGGCAGCCCAGAAAGAAAUUACAAACCUAACUUAGAUUCUCAACCAAAUUCAUUACCUAAAAUCCCUCAAAAUUACAGUGGUAGAACAAAUCUAAGAAAAGCACCAUAAAAUUGAAACUAAACAAAAAGCUACGGGAAAAGAAUAGGUAGAUAGAGAAUGAGAACUUACCUAAAGUUUUAGAGAACGAAAUGCAGAGAAGCAGACGAAUCGACGGCGAUGUCGAGCACACGGAGCGACGGCGAUGUCGAGCAUACGGAGUGACGACGAGCAGGUGGAGAGAGAUCGGAGAGCAGAGAGUUACGAUUUCAAAGAGAAGCGGAGGGGUGGGCUAUCUACAGUUAAGAUUAGGGUUCAAUGAAAAUACAAUGAUUUUUAAAGGGGGAAUUUUU
rnacentral:lncRNA from 1 species